rnacentral:ncRNA from 1 species
GGACGAGCCUCUGGAGAGACCGGGCAUGCCCCGGCGCCGAAGGCGAAAGUGCCGGCUUAGGCCAGCGCGAAACGCUCAGGCAAAAGGACAGAGGAGAGGAU